GGACCAUUGAGAAGUGUGAAAUCAUAUUCUGUUUAUUUCAUAAAUGGUUAUAGGUUCACGCUGUCAGUCAUGGUGUUAAUUGGUCCUUGACAAAUAGUAGAGUUUGCAUUAAGGGUUAAACAAAAUGCGAUAAUUCCAAUGACUACUAUGGUAUUUUGAUGAAGGUAGUUCGGCUAGAAUAUCAUGUUUUAUCAAUAAAGAGAACUGUUCUAUUCAAGUGUGAAUGGUUUGAUUUAACUUUUGAACUUCGGUAUUAAGAUUCACAAAUAUUAUAACUUAAUGGAAAUCAAUAAUCAGUGACGAUUAAAUAAAUAUGAACCAUUCAUCCUUGCUUCCUAAGUUAAACAAGUGGUUUACAUCCCUUAUCCUAGCUUAAAACGAAACAAGGCAAACUGGUAUGCAGUGUGCAAAGUGAAGUCUUGGUCCAUAAUUAUCAUGCAUGAGUCAAAUUUGACAACCCUUUGCUCUCUCUCUCUCUCUCUC
rnacentral:misc_RNA from 1 species